GUUACCUUUCAGACAGUUUGCAGUGAUCGUCACACGCGGAACGGCCGACGUUGGCAGAGUAGCCGGGAGCGUUGGAGCGUUUCGUUGCCGCAAUCUGUUAGGCGCCACUGCUUCGAUCUUAACGAUAAGACGCCGAUUAAAAUGCUUACGAAGAACUGUACAAGAGCAGCUGGCUCGGAAAAGUACCAAAUAUCACUGCAUGAAUUUACUCGUAACUUGAAACACUUCGGUUCUGUAUCCGCAUUCCGAUCUUGGAGAAUAUAUUUUUCACGCACUGCACCAUUCCGCGCAUGCAGACCGUCUGCCCGAUGAUGAGGUCCAGCGAUGCAGUACCGCGACCGGAUGCUGCUGGCCAAGAACUUUCCGCCAACUUUUGGCGCCUACCGGAGUUCCACUGACCGAAGGAGGGCUGAUUGCCGGAGACGGCCUCCGCUCCGGUCCUCCGAGGCAAAUCGAGCAUCUCGUCGCGAAGCGGUUAGCAAACGGGUGGGGAUCUCUUUUCCCAUUGCCGGUUCGUUAUUGCUGCAGACGGAACGCAGCGCAACGGUAAAACGCGCGACUGUCCUAAAGAUACGAAACGCACGCGAAGGUGGAACCGCCCUCCCCUGUCGAUCCGAACUGUUCUCCUUAACACCUGCAGUACCAUAUCACGCACUGUCGGAGAUCCCCGCAGCUGUUUAUCCCACCGGUUAUCUGCAGGGAGAGGGGAAGCCGCAGGCCUUGUACGACUCUUUUAACACGCAUGGCGCCAGUUUGGCGAGAUACUUAGUCACCGAUCGGAUACCUAUGAUAAUCCGGGCGAGAAAGCGCAGCUGAAGCGUAUACGCAUUUUUUACACUUUAUCUUGAGUUUUUUUUUAUGAUAAUCUUUUAUUCAUGUACCUUUUUUUCCCUUCCAUAUCCAUGUAGGAUCGUCUGCCAUUCCACAUUAUGCAAGGAAUCUGCUAGAUCGUCCGACCAUUUUGGUGGUUAUAAGUACACUAUCAGCACAUUAGAUUUCGAGAAUUAAGUGGAACAGAACCGAAUGUCGUUAUAAAAUUACGAUCCCAGGUAAGUUUUGAAGGUUGUCCAGAAUAGAGUCAAUCUCUUACAAUGCAAAAUCAAAUUUCUCAUUUUUUAUCGAUCGCUGUUUGUUUAGAAGUUGAUCCUUGAAAACGUCAUCAACAAGCUACCAUGGCGCAUAGGAAAUACCAAUCUAAUAUCUAAUCUUUUAGCAAGAAAGUUUGCUUUCUUUUUGUUCGAGUGAAGAAUCGUUAUGCAGAUGCUUCACGUGCUGACCGUAAAUACUGAUUCUGAUAUUGACCAUCAACAUAUAUGUAUUACGCACACAGUUAUACUCUUUGGUAAAUGUAUCUGUGAAUAAUUAACAAUGUUACAGACAGUAUGUAUACAUAUGUAUACCCAUACUAUACAUUAAUAUGAGACUGUAUAUUUGAAAGUUAGCGGGAAGCUGCUGACGACCUUGGCAUUUUGUCUGCUGCACUUUUCACCGUGAUCCUGCAGUAGGCUGUAUCGGACUAAUUUUAAUGCUGCAGACAAGGAGAAGUCGAUCCAUGGCUGCAGUUCGUUCAGCUCCGGGAAUAAAAAACCGACCCUGGUAAUUCUUGUGAAUGAAUUAUUGCGGGUACCUAAUAUAUAGGUAUAUGUAUUCGAAAACAGAUAGUUAAGCUGUCUAUAAUGCCUCUUAAGAACGUAUGCAAUUUGGCUUGGAUUAUUCGGCACGGCCGUGAAAUU